GAUCCAGCCAUGCCGCGUGCAGGAUGACGGCCCUAUGGGUUGUAAACUGCUUUUAUACGGGAAGAAACGCGCCCACGUGUGGGCGUUUGACGGUACCGUAAGAAUAAGGACCGGCUAACUCCGUGCCAGCAGCCGCGGUAAUACGGAGGGUCCGAGCGUUAUCCGGAAUCAUUGGGUUUAAAGGGUCCGUAGGCGGGCCUGUAAGUCAGGGGUGAAAGUUUGUGGCUCAACCAUAAAAUUGCCUUUGAUACUGCAGGUCUUGAGUCAUGGUGGGGUUGCCGGAACAUGUGGUGUAGCGGUGAAAUGCAUAGAUAUCACAUAGAACACCGAUCGCGAAGGCAGGUGACCAACCAUGUACUGACGCUGAUGGACGAAAGCGUGGGUAGCGAACGGGAUUAGAUACCCCGGUAGUCCACGCCGUAAACGAUGGAUACUAGCUGUGGGGACUUCGGUCUCCGUGGCCAAGCGAAAGUGAUAAGUAUCCCACCUGGGGAGUACGUUCGCAAGAAUGAAACUCAAAGGAAUUGACGGGGGCCCGCACAAGCGGUGGAGCAUGUGGUUUAAUUCGAUGAUACGCGAGGAACCUUACCAGGGCUUAAAUGCAGGCUGCAUGGGGUAGAGAUACCCCUUUCUUCGGACCGCCUGCAAGGUGCUGCAUGGUUGUCGUCAGCUCGUGCCGUGAGGUGUCAGGUUAAGUCCUAUAACGAGCGCAACCCCUACCGUUAGUUGCCAGCAUGUCAAGAUGGGGACUCUAACGGGACUGCCGGUGCAAACCGUGAGGAAGGUGGGGACGACGUCAAAUCAUCACGGCCCUUACGUCCUGGGCUACACACGUGCUACAAUGGCCGGUACAGAGGGAAGCCACCCCGCAAGGGGGCGCGGAUCUACAAAACCGGUCACAGUUCGGAUCGGGGUCUGCAACUCGACCCCGUGAAGCUGGAAUCGCUAGUAAUCGGAUAUCAGCCAUGAUCCGGUGAAUACGUUCCCGGGCCUUGUACACACCGCCCUGUCAAGCCAUGGAAGCCGGGAGU
rnacentral:rRNA from 1 species